ensembl:lncRNA
CCAGCCCUGGGCCAUCUACCUCUUGGGCCAUGGACUCGGAGGACACCAUGUGUCCACCAGCUUGUGGACUCCAGCCAGGGGCCAUAGGAAACUCAGCAGAGGAUUCAAGGCAGAGAGAAGUGGCAGUAUCUUUCCGCAGGAUUUUCUCUUGCAGAAAGAGCUGCAUCCUUUCCUGUGCCAGGGCCAAGGGCAGUUGGGACUGAAUAGCACUGGCUGGGGAGUGGGGACAUCGUGCCAGAGCCCUUUUGCCAAAAUUCCUCCAAAUAGGAUGACAUCGCCCGAAAUGUCACUUGUAGCAGACAGCAGCAUCCAGAAGAAUGAAACCCAUAGUGGUUGCUGUGAGAUGUAACAGUGGGACCAGACGAUGAAAUGGACCGAUGACGGGUUUCACUCUCAGCAUAAUGCCAUGAAAGGAACAGAGUCUUCAGAAUCACUGACUCUUAAGCUAGAGGACCUCCUUGUUAGUCUUCUGGAAUAAUAUAAAACCGACCUACAGCCCACGCCACAGGCCUCGGUGAAAAGGAAAGAGGGCAAUUGUUUGGGACCCUGAAGAGUAGGAUGGUGACCCAGCCCCACCUCCUCAGGUCAGGGGACAAGGACAGAACAGUGCUGGCAGAUGACUUCUGGAAUGUCAUCCUUUGUCAUUCUCCAUGCCCAAACACAUGACAGUGCAGCCCACGGAAGGCUGUAGACUGCAGGCCAAGCCUGUGGUCUGGGUAGGAGCUUCUCAUGGUUUACUUUCCUAUUUCAUUUUAGGAGAGUAAAACUUGGGUCAAGAGACUGAAUUGUUUUUAUAUUUUGCAUCAAUGUUUUAAAUAUCAUUGAUUCAAAUGUGUCCAAUCUGAGAAAUGUUAAGGAGAAACGUAAGGGCCCCUCGCCCAUCAGCUUGAGAGAGGAGCUCGGUGUUGAUGGGGAAGGAUUUUCCCGACCACGUCAGGUAAUGUGUUGUCACAAGAGAACACCUGAUCCUGAAAGCUUCGGCAGACAAAGGUUGUGGUGAGCAGAAAGGGGAAGACCUGAGCUCAUUGAGAAAUUUCUGCGUGGCUCCUUGGCUGGAGCUCGCCAUCCUUCACACAUCAGCCAGAAGGACCUUGCGGAGAUCCCAACUCUAUCCCUCUGGCCUCCCAUCUGAAUCACGCCAAGCCUAGAUCCUAACAAGGCCCAGGAAGUCCAGUGGGUGCAGCGCCUGCCCCCUCCCCAGCCUGGUCCUCACCAGUUCCAUCCGCCUCCCAGCCCUCCUCCCGUGCUCGGAGCGCUCCCAGCCCCAAGGCCUUCUCCUCUCCCACCACACCUGCCUCCUGCUGACCCCUCCAGAGAUUUCAGCUCCACAGCUGAGGAUCACAGUCGCUCUGGCGCUGUCCCUCCCCUUUCCUUGGCUUGCCACGGGAAUCUAGGUACCUGCAGCCCUGUGAUUGCCAUCUGCCUCUGCCGGGCAGCUGCACACUCUGAGGGCAGGAAUGGGUUUGUGCAGCUCAUCCUAACCCCCCAGGUCCAGAGUAAAACCUGGCAUGCAGUAGGUGCUUCAGAGGUGCUACGUGAGUGAAUAAACGAUGAGUGAGGGAAGGAAGGGAGGGAGGAAGGAAGGAAGGGAGGGAGGGAGGCCCACUUGGUCCGUGAGCAAGUUCUGCUCCCUUCCUUCCCCAUCCUCCUAAGAGUCUGGCUCCCGUGCCUCAUUCUGGAGGAGGCAUCGGCUCCAGGAUGACUCUGACUCCCGAAGUCUGAAGCCCUGCUGCCAAAUCUCUCAGCUUUCAUGUGUUCACGUGAGACCUUGGGAAUUCCUUCCAAAUUCGGUUUUGUCAUCUGUAAUACAGAAUCAUACCAUUCCUCACUCACUGAGUUGUGAGCGGUGACUAAGAUGCACUCAGCUGUGUGGAGAAGCAGUGCUGAGCAACAUUUAUUGGCAUCUACUAUACACUGGCACUGCUGUAAGUCUUCUAAAUGCAUCUUCCCAUUUGAGUUUCCCAACAGCCUCAUGAGCCAGGGAACCAUAUCUGCCUCACCUUGCAAAUGAGGAAACUGAGGCACAGGGUCAGAAUAGCACGAUUGUGCACACCACUGAGUGGCAACUCUGCCCAUCUGCUGCCAAGCCCACACACUGGGUGGCCACCCUGGCUGCCUUGCUCUUGGGGAAGGAGAGACGGAGGAUAGACAGACUGAAGGGGCAGGUCAGUCAGUAGGUACGAUGUUAGUGUUUAACAGGAGGAAUGCAUUCUGGGGUUCCAUGGCAUAGCAGGAUAAAUAGAACUAGCAAUAAUGCAUUAUAGCUCAAAAUAGACAGAAACUGGCAUGUUCUCAUCAUAAAGACAUGUUGACCACCUAAGGUGCUGGGCAUGCUAAUUAUCUGGAGUUGAUUACUACUCAAAACACGCAUGAAUCAGAACAUAACAUUAUACCUGAUAAACAAGUCCAAAUAUUAUGUGUCGAUCAAACAAUACUUCUAAAACAAUUUGUGUUGCUCAGGCCAGUUCUUUAUGUUCUGUGGCGGUUAAACAAGUAUCAAGUGGAGAAAGUCCAGUGUAUAGUUAUCCAAAAUGGUAAGUGGCCAGAUCUAAUUUACCAAAUGUUAUCCUUAAACUAUAACUCCCAGUCACUUCUCGUAUAAAGGUUUAAUAAACUCUGGAAUUCAGGGCCAUUUGCCCUUGCAGCAAGAUUUAUAUUUCCAUAGACUAUGAAGGGUGACAUAGUAGCUGAGAUACCGGAUAUCACUCCUGGAAAUUAUUUCUCAUCUCCUCAUUUCAUGACUCCUUCACUGUGAAAUAUGGAAGGAGAAGAAAAGCACAGUGCCGAGAAUGUUAUACACACACACAAUAGAUGGGAGCUGUCGUUACUUUUACCUUGAUUUUAUUUUGCUGUAUAUUUUAAAAAGAAUGAGAAAAUGAGGAAUUUUUGUUAUGCCAACCUCACCCUAAGAACACUUUGCUUUUUUUCUGGCCUUAGAGAUGAAGGACUCAUUUAGACUUAGGAAGUCAGGAGUUCGGAGAGGAGAUAAUGUCUUCAUGCAAGCAUACGUAAAUAAAUCCUGGUUAACUGCUAUUGGAUUUACAUUUAUCAUUUUCCUAACUGGGUCCAUUUUUAGUUUUCUAGAAUAAAAAAAUAAACGGCCAAAGGUUUAGCUUAAAUCUAUUUAGAAUAAUACGGACUUUUUUUUUUAACUUUUAAAAAAAAAUCACAUGAGAUUCAUCUUUCUCUAGUAAGGGGCUGUCUUUCUGGUGGUUUCUGGUAGAAUUACUGCCUUCCAUUGUGGUUAGAAAGGAAACAGUUGGAGCCUCUUGUAGUCUGUUUUAUGCUGCGAUAACAGAGUAGGUGAUUCACAGACUUAGGACUAGCGGUUCUGAAGGCUGGGAAGGCCAGGGUUGAUGGGCUGCAUCUGGUAGAGCGUCCUUGCUGCGUCAUAUCCUGCAGGAGGCACCACGGGGUGAGAUGGAGGGAGAGAGACCAAGCUCCCAGCCUCCUGCCCUUUCCACACAGCAUUAACCCAUUUAUGAGCGUGGAUUCCUCGUGUGUCCUUAUCUUGCCCCAGUGGGUCCCACUUACCAUCUCUGCUGUUUGGGAGAUCAAGUUUCCAAGACAUGGUUUUCUGGGAGGACACACUCAAACCCUAAUAGAGCCCAUUUCAGAUCUUCCUCCACACAUUUAAUCGCAUUCUAUUUCAGCUCAAAGCUCACUUCAUUAAUAUAAGUGAAAACAAUAGAAAUUCACAACAAUAUUGUGAAGCACCUAUUUUGGGCAUUAGGAAAUAUCUCUGAGAGUGUCAUCCACAGGAGUAUUUUCUCUUUCAUUCCAGCACCUGUUUAUCAUUGACAAACCUCGCUGGGUACAUUGUACCCAGCUAGACCUGUGCCAAACAUUGGUUGCAGAAGGAUGUGUAAGGAGCCCUGUCCCUGGGAGGAGUCAGCCUCUGAGACAGUCUCAGGAAUGCCCACCUCCUGAUGUCCACAUCCUGCAGGCUCUGCCCCACAUACAGCGGGGUUGUCAGUGGAGCACAGAAUAGCAUGGACGUGAUGGCAUCUCACUCUGAGGUCCAGGUUGUUAAAGGCAUGGCAGCCUCUGCCUUGCUGUCUUAGGAAGCCACUGCCACACUGCCCUGGGAAGUGUGCACAAGGUGAGGAUCAGAGAGGGAUUGAGAAAUUGUCUGCCACAGUCCUGAGUGAGCAUGGAAACAGCUUCUCCAGCCCUGGCCUUCCGAUUCUUGCAACCCUAGUUAAAGGCUCAGAUGCUCCAGGCCAGGCCCACUCUGCUGAGCUGCUCUCAGAUUCCUGGCCCUCAGGAACCAUGGGAAAUAAUCGAUGCUUUUUUGUGUUAAGGUGUUGAGUUUUGGAGUAAUUUGUUACGCAGCAACAGCUGACUGACUCAAGGGGGUGAUUUAGUUGAGAAAGUGGACCACACAUUUAGAGAAAAAAUACAUAAACAAUGCUUCAAACAAGUAGCAGAGAUCAGAGGUGAUCAAUAUUCAGGGGAGAGAGAGAAAGAAAAGAGACAGAAAGAGAGAGAGAGAUCUAUAGCAUGGGAAGGCAACCCAAAGGUCCACCUAGGAGCUUGCUUCUUACAAGGUCUAUUCAAACAAACCUCUUUUAUCCUUCUCUAAUCUCAGCUGUCACCCUGGUCAGGAUUCUUGCCAACAGGGCUGUUUCCCUGAUAUCCUUCCUCUGGCAUGGACAUCCUGGUUGCAGACAGAUGGAAAUACAUGUGUGCUAUUAGCGCCUGCUGGUGUUCAGGGCUCUCAGCUAUCCCCCACUCACCUCUACCCAGGCCCAUCCCCAGGUAACUGAAGGGCCUGUGAGUGGCCCCACAAGAGUUUCCAAGACCCUGAUCCCACCCCCAGGCCAGCAGCAGUCUCUGUGGCCAGGCACACUUCUCGUAUUGCCUGCCAGUGUCAACGAGGUGACCUGUACCAAGCACAUGGUGGUAUUAGGAGCUCUGUGCCACCCUCUGAGGGAGAGGACGUACGUGUGCCUGUCUCGCUGAAACUCUUAAGGUCCUGCUGCUGUGGGAAAUGUAAGAGGACCUUGCACGAGAAGUGUCCUUUCCUUCCAAAGUUUUGUGUCUUUCACACCACCCGGAGUGCUAAAUCUAGCAAACUGAAGGGAAGCUGAGGGCAUCGUGGAACCAAAUCUAUCUAUAAAAUUUAUAUGAAAAUGUGUAAGAUAAUAUUUUAUCAAUAUAAAUGUAUAUGUGUUGACUUGAUUUUAUAUAUAAAUAUAUGAAGACAUCUGAGGCAAAUGAUCUGAUAUUUAAAAUUUUUUAAUGGACAUAUAAUAAUUGUACAUAUUCAGGGGUAUAAUGUGGUAUUUUGACACAUGUACAAUGUACAACAAUCAAAUCAAGAUAUUUAGUAUAUAAAUCACCUCAAACAUUUCUUUGUGUUAGGAACAUUAAAAUUUCUCUCUUCUAUAUAAUAUGCAAUAAAUUUGUUUUGAAAUAUAUAAAAUAUUAAUAAAUGAUAGUUGUUUUGCAGUAUACAAUAAGUUAUUAUGAACAAUAGUAGAACCCUACUGUGCUAUAGAACCCUAGAGCUUAAUCCUCCCAUCUAACUAUAUUUAACCAGUCCUUCCCUAAUCUCUCUCCCCCCUACCUUUCCAGCCUCUGGUAUUUUUCUUCUUAAGUGUGAUUUGAUUUGAAUGACUGGGAAAAGUGGC